rnacentral:rRNA from 1 species
GGGUUGUGAGGUUAAGCGACUAAGCGUACACGGUGGAUGCCCUGGCAGUCAGAGGCGAUGAAGGACGUGCUAAUCUGCGAUAAGCGUCGGUGAGGUGAUAUGAACCGUUAUAACCGGCGAUUUCCGAAUGGGGAAACCCAGUGUGUUUCGACACACUAUCAUUAACUGAAUCCAUAGGUUAAUGAGGCGAACCGGGGGAACUGAAACAUCUAAGUACCCCGAGGAAAAGAAAUCAACCGAGAUUCCCCCAGUAGCGGCGAGCGAACGGGGAGGAGCCCAGAGCCUGAAUCAGUGUGUGUGUUAGUGGAAGCGUCUGGAAAGGCGCGCGAUACAGGGUGACAGCCCCGUACACAAAAAUGCACAUAUUGUGAGCUCGAUGAGUAGGGCGGGACACGUGGUAUCCUGUCUGAAUAUGGGGGGACCAUCCUCCAAGGCUAAAUACUCCUGACUGACCGAUAGUGAACCAGUACCGUGAGGGAAAGGCGAAAAGAACCCCGGCGAGGGGAGUGAAAAAGAACCUGAAACCGUGUACGUACAAGCAGUGGGAGCCUCUUAAUGGGGUGACUGCGUACCUUUUGUAUAAUGGGUCAGCGACUUAUAUUCUGUAGCAAGGUUAACCGAAUAGGGGAGCCGAAGGGAAACCGAGUCUUAACUGGGCGUUAAGUUGCAGGGUAUAGACCCGAAACCCGGUGAUCUAGCCAUGGGCAGGUUGAAGGUUGGGUAACACUAACUGGAGGACCGAACCGACUAAUGUUGAAAAAUUAGCGGAUGACUUGUGGCUGGGGGUGAAAGGCCAAUCAAACCGGGAGAUAGCUGGUUCUCCCCGAAAGCUAUUUAGGUAGCGCCUCGUGAAUUCAUCUCCGGGGGUAGAGCACUGUUUCGGCAAGGGGGUCAUCCCGACUUACCAACCCGAUGCAAACUGCGAAUACCGGAGAAUGUUAUCACGGGAGACACACGGCGGGUGCUAACGUCCGUCGUGAAGAGGGAAACAACCCAGACCGCCAGCUAAGGUCCCAAAGUCAUGGUUAAGUGGGAAACGAUGUGGGAAGGCCCAGACAGCCAGGAUGUUGGCUUAGAAGCAGCCAUCAUUUAAAGAAAGCGUAAUAGCUCACUGGUCGAGUCGGCCUGCGCGGAAGAUGUAACGGGGCUAAACCAUGCACCGAAGCUGCGGCAGCGACGCUUAUGCGUUGUUGGGUAGGGGAGCGUUCUGUAAGCCUGUGAAGGUGGCCUGUGAGGGUUGCUGGAGGUAUCAGAAGUGCGAAUGCUGACAUAAGUAACGAUAAAGCGGGUGAAAAGCCCGCUCGCCGGAAGACCAAGGGUUCCUGUCCAACGUUAAUCGGGGCAGGGUGAGUCGACCCCUAAGGCGAGGCCGAAAGGCGUAGUCGAUGGGAAACAGGUUAAUAUUCCUGUACUUGGUGUUACUGCGAAGGGGGGACGGAGAAGGCUAUGUUGGCCGGGCGACGGUUGUCCCGGUUUAAGCGUGUAGGCUGGUUUUCCAGGCAAAUCCGGAAAACCAAGGCUGAGGCGUGAUGA